rnacentral:rRNA from 1 species
UACGUAGGGGGCGAGCGUUGUCCGGAUUCAUUGGGCGUAAAGAGCUCGUAGGCGGUUCGACAAGUCGGGUGUGAAAACUCCGGCUCAACCCGGAGACGCCACCCGAUACUGUCGUGACUGGAGUCCGGUAGGGGAGUGGGGAAUUCCUGGUGUAGCGGUGAAAUGCGCAGAUAUCAGGAGGAACACCGGUGGCGAAGGCGCCACUCUGGGCCGGUACUGACGUGAGGAGCGAAAGCGUGGGUAGCAAACAGG